CUCUUCCUGCCGCGCUCCCUCAGAACUGGCUGAAGAACACUAGCUACUUCUCCAGCUGCGUGCCGCCAUGUUCCCUGUCAUGGGGAUAAAGGGACUAAAUCCCUCUGAAACGGUUCAUCUAUGAAGCAGCUGGCUCCAGAACCUUCUGCCUGCCUAAGGCCGAAUAAUGCUCUGCUUCUGAGUAUGCUGACUUGGGUUGUCUGUUUACCUCACUGCUGGCUGCUGGCUGCUGUCCCCCUGGGAGCUCCCUGCUUGGCUGCUGUGGCUAAUGCUGCCAGGAGGUCAGUUGUCCAAGAAUCUCUCUCUUCAGGCCCUUCUUCCAGUUCCUCAGGCGCCACAUCCAGAAGCAGGAGAAGAACCUUAGGAGCAGUGUCCACUCUGCUCACAGACCCUGUUCAUCAUGGCUCCAAUGACUCUCGAUUUCCAUCUCUGCUGUGUUUCUUAGCCAGCACGGGGCCUGCAACUACAUCUCCUAUCUGGAUGCUGUGUAAGAGCAGGAGGAAGAAUGGACCCUUGCAAGGACACAGCUACCGCCCAGGGGUGCCUGGCGAGACAGAUUCUGCAAAUGUUUGUCAGCUCAGAGCCAGGUCUAGAAUGUGGCCUCUCUGGAGCUCGCUUGUUGGCUCCCCCAGAUGCAUCAUGGAAGGAGUUCCGCAUGCUCUGAGACAGUUUCUUCCCAGGAGGGGAUCAGCUUACUGGAGCAGCGCUGUUUUCUGUGGACCCUUGUCUAGUUGUGGCGGUUGCUGGGAAAGAUGAAGUCCCCAGACUGGAGCUCAGGCUGCAAAGAGGCUGGCAUGAAGCGAGAUGCCCCUUCUAGGCCAAGGCAAGAUCUGCUGCCCUCUGACUUCUACCUGUUGCUGAGAUGACUUCUGUCGCCAAGGCACCUGGAUACCGAGCCACUCCUUGACAAAAGCCCUCUCCAGCCUGCGUGGACCUCGCGUGAGAGAAGUCUAGGUGGCUGUGGGCAGCCCACAGGCUUCCGUUGCCGCUGCGUUACAGCUUGUCGUCUUAAUCUUGAAAUGAGACCUGGUUCACUUGAUCUCAUUAAUAAAAGGUCUGUGCUCCCCCUAGUCAUAAAAA
rnacentral:lncRNA from 1 species